AAAUGAAUAGACGGGGGCCCGCACAAGCGGUGGAGCAUGUGGUUUAAUUCGACGCAACGCGAAGAACCUUACCAGGUUUUGACAUCCCUUGACGACCCAAGAGAUUGGGAGUUCAUCCUUCGGGAUGACAAGGAGACAGGUGGUGCAUGGUUGUCGUCAGCUCGUGUCGUGAGAUGUUGGGUUAAGUCCCGCAACGAGCGCAACCCUUAUUCUUAGUUGCCAGCAAGCAAGAUGGGCACUCUAAGGAGACUGCCGGUGACAAACCGGAGGAAGGUGGGGAUGACGUCAAAUCAUCAUGCCCUUUAUGACCUGGGCAACACACGUGCUACAAUGGCCUGUACAAAGGGUCGCGAAGCUGUGAAGCGGAGCCAAUCCCAAAAAGCAGGUCUCAGUUCGGAUUGCAGGCUGCAACUCGCCUGCAUGAAGUCGGAAUCGCUAGUAAUCGCGGAUCAGCACGCCGCGGUGAAUACGUUCCCGGGCCUUGUACACACCGCCCGU
rnacentral:rRNA from 1 species